ACUGCUUUUCUGGGUCAUGAAGCGGAUAUAUAUUUUACGUGUUUUUUACAAAUAGAAUAUUAGUCUUAGGAAUGAUUGGGUCGGACAUUCGCACUUUUUGAAAGAAUUAUCGAAAUUUAGGCUCACAAAUUUGUCUAAAAAUUUAAAAAUUAAUCCAAAUUAUUUGAUAUCCAAAUUCGCUUCAAGAAAAAUAAGCAAUAUUCAAUAAAGAAAAAGAACGCAAGAAGACCAAUAACAAAAGAACAACGAAAGCACCUAAAUCCGAGCUGGUAGGUUCACCCAAUAUACCCCAAUCGUAGCUCCCCUCGUAUUCGUCCAGAUUAGCCCGAUAGAAGAGGGACAAAUAAUACAAUCAAAGCAGUUCGCGUGGGACAAAGCUGCCCCAGCCAAAGCAUGAAUCUAACGGAAGGAUAGAGAUUGGACACUAGAAAUGAUAUAGCAACAAGCCCUGAUCAAUGGUUUUGAUUUCAAAGCAUUCAAAUUAGCGGGGAAAGAGCUUGCCAAAGUUGUUAUCUGUUAGUCUCCAAACAAUAUUAUCCAUACGUAAAGACUGAAGCUAAGAGAGAGCCUCAUGAACUGUCGAUAUCUCCGCUAUAAUAGGAUUCAAGUACUCUUCACAAAACCCGAGAUGCACCGAACGAAUUUUCCCUCGUCAUUACGCACCAUCGCAACCCAAUCCAUAUUACCACCAGCGCAAGGAUAGUACCAUCAGAGUUACGUUUUAGCUUACCCGCCCGCCGACAGCUUCUUCCAACAUUCAUCACUGCGGUUCACCACUAUUUAAGGCCUCGACUGAGAUUCAUGAACCAUCGGCGCACCAAGCCUUCUAUGCAUAAACUCGUUCACAUACUGCACAACAUGCUCCACCGUCAUAAAUUUUUUAUUCCAGAAGAUAAUGUUACUAGCAAACCAAAUUCCCCAAAGCAAACACAAAAUUCGCCUCCUGAUAUCAGUAUGCUGCCCUGCAAAAAUCCCACAAAUGAAAUAAAAAACCGAUCGACCAGAUGGAACAAUGUUCACUGCUUGCUAUACAACAACAUCAAAAGAGUAGUGAAAAAAAAACAUGUUCUAAAUCCUCCCCAUCCUGACGGCAUCUAGCACACUUCAGAUCAAUAUCCAUACCUCGUGACAAGAGCUUGCUUUUACAAGGGAUGGACGCUCUUAAGCAACGCCAAAGAUACUCCUUAAUUUUGGGGGGUAAAACUUCAUUCCUCCCUAAGUCGGGAAUAGUGCUAAUAUGAGACCAUACAUUUUAGAAUUGUUGAUAUAAAUAAAAUAGGAACUAUCAAUGUUAAAGAGGAAGAUAGUUGGAUACUAGAAGGAAUUGAAAAGGCUUGUGUAUUGAGAAUAAAUAAAUC
rnacentral:lncRNA from 1 species